rnacentral:rRNA from 1 species
AUUGAACGCUGGCGGCAUGCUUUACACAUGCAAGUCGAACGGUAACAGGUUAAGCUGACGAGUGGCGAACGGGUGAGUAAUGCAUCGGAACGUGCCCGGUCGUGGGGGAUAACGCAGCGAAAGUUGCGCUAAUACCGCAUACGAUCUGAGGAUGAAAGCGGGGGACCGUAAGGCCUCGCGCGAUCGGAGCGGCCGAUGUCAGAUUAGGUAGUUGGUGUGGUAAAGGCUCACCAAGCCAACGAUCUGUAGCUGGUCUGAGAGGACGACCAGCCACACUGGGACUGAGACACGGCCCAGACUCCGACGGGAGGCAGCAGUGGGGAAUUUUGGACAAUGGGCGAAAGCCUGAUCCGGCAAUGCCGCGUGCAGGAAGAAGGCCUUCGGGUUGUAAACUGCUUUUGUACGGAGCGAAAAGGUCUCCUCUAAUACAGGGGGCUCAUGACGGUACCGUAAGAAUAAGCACCGGCUAACUACGUGCCAGCAGCCGCUGUAA